rnacentral:rRNA from 1 species
UACGUAGGGGGCAAGCGUUGUUCGGAUUUACUGGGCGUAAAGGGCGCGUAGGCGGCCACCGCAAGUCGACUGUGAAAUCUCCGGGCUUAACCCGGAAAGGUCAGCCGAUACUGCGGGGCUAGAGUGCAGAAGGGGCAACUGGAAUUCUCGGUGUAGCGGUGAAAUGCGUAGAUAUCGAGAGGAACACCUGCGGCGAAGGCGGGUUGCUGGGCUGACACUGACGCUGAUGCGCGAAAGCUAGGGGAGCGAACGGG